UGCGUAGGCGGGUUUCUAAGUCAGAGGUGAAAGCCUGGAGCUCAACUCCAGAACUGCCUUUGAUACUGGAAGUCUUGAGUUCGGGAGAGGUGAGUGGAACUGCGAGUGUAGAGGUGAAAUUCGUAGAUAUUCGCAAGAACACCAGUGGCGAAGGCGGCUCACUGGCCCGAUACUGACGCUGAGGCACGAAAGCGUGGGAGGCAAACA
rnacentral:rRNA from 1 species